rnacentral:lncRNA from 1 species
CCUGUACCGACAUUUCAAAAAACUUUUAUAAUUGAUGUGCUUGCCCAAUUUACGCUUGUUGAAAAAAAUUCUCAAAUCUACGUGAUAGCUUGCCACAAGCAGAUAAAAUAAAAGAUAAUGAUUCAUCUCUCCAUAUAGGAUAGAAAAUAAUAAACAUAUUUUACUUAAUAAGAUAAGGCUAACAAUUUGAUUUUUCAAAUUUCUCACAUACUUCCGCUAUCGUUUAUAAAUAGAGGGC